UUAAGUAAGGAAGGGCGUACGGCGAAUGCCUUGCCACUCGAAACUGAAGAAGGACGCGCCAAACUGCGAAAAGCUCCGUGAAGCUGUAAGGAAGCGAAGAAGCGGAGGUGUCCGAAUGGGGGAACCCGGCAGCAGACAUGAGCUGUCAUCUGCAGGUGAAUACAUGGCCUGCAAGAGAGGUACCCGGCGAACUGAAACAUCUAAGUAGCCGGAGGAAAAGAAAACAACAGUGAUUCCCUGAGUAGCGGCGAGCGAAAGGGGAGAAGCCCAAACCGGUUGAAGGACCGGGGUUGAAGGACCAUGACAUGGCAAGAACGAGGAUAGGAGAACGGGAUCGAAAGCCCGGCCGAAGAAGGUGAAAGCCCUGUAACCGAAAUCCGAGUAAAGCCUAAUGGGAUCCUGAGUACGGCGAGACACGAGAAAUCUUGUCGGAAGCAGGCGGGACCAUCCGCCAAGGCUAAAUAUAAACGAGUGAGCGAUAGUGAACCAGUACCGUGAGGGAAAGGUGAAAAGAACCGCGGGAGCGGAGUGAAAGAGAACCUGAAACCGUAUGCCUACAAGAAGUCAGAGCCCGUUAAGGGGUGAUGGCGUGCCUUUUGUAGAAUGAACCGGCGAGUUGCGACAGACUGCGAGGUUAAGGAGGAAAGACCGGAGCCGAAGCGAAAGCGAGUCUUAAGAGGGCGAAAGUAGGAUGUUGCAGACCCGAAACCGGGUGAUCUAGCCAUGAGCAGGUUGAAGUUGAGGUGAAACUCAAUGGAGGACCGAACCGACUACCGUUGAAAAGUUAGCGGAUGACUUGUGGCUAGGGGAGAAAUUCCAAUCGAACCCGGAGAUAGCUGGUUCUCCCCGAAAUAGCUUUAGGGCUAGCGUCGGAAAGAACCUUAGUGAAGGUAGAGCACUGAAUGUGUGAUGGCCCCAUCCCGGGGUACUGAAUACAAUCAAACUGCGAAUGUCAUUAAGGAUGUCCGGCAGUCAGACUGUGAGUGAUAAGGUCCAUGGUCAAGAGGGAAACAGCCCAGACCGCCAGUUAAGGUCCCAAAAUACAGGCUAAGUGGAAAAGGAUGUGGGGAUGCCCAGACAACUAGGAGGUUGGCUCAGAAGCAGCCAUCCUUUAAAGAGUGCGUAACAGCUCACUAGUCGAGUGACCCUGCGCCGAAAAUGUACCGGGGCUAAGCCUGAUACCGAAACUGCGGAUUGUAGGAAACUAUAGUGGUAGGGGAGCGUUGUAUACGAGCAGAAGCCGUACCGUGAGGAGCGGUGGAUUGUAUAGAAGUGAGAAUGCCGGUGUGAGUAGCGAGAUGUAGGUGAGAAUCCUACACACCGAAAGCCCAAGGAUUCCAGGGGAAGGUUCGUCCGCCCUGGGUAAGUCGGGACCUAACGCGAGGCCGAAAGGCGUAGUGGAUGGAAAGCAGGCGAAAGAUUCCUGCACCCGUAUAUGGAGCGAAGGAGUGACGGAGACGGAUAGUGUGACCCUCUUAAUGGAUUGAGGGCGAAGCGAAGCGGCUGGUUACCAGGCAAAUCCGGUAACCAAAAGGCUAGAGCGUGACAGGUAAGCGAAAUCUUAGGAAAGUAGCGAAGCACAUGAUGACGGCUUCCAGGAAAAGCUUCUGGCAAUGCAUAUGCGGCCCGUACCAAAACCGACACAGGUGGGCAGGGAGAGAAUCCCGAGGUGAGCGAGAGAACUGUUGCCAAGGAACUCGGCAAAAUGACUCCGUAAGUUAGCGAGAAGGAGUGCUUAAGCAAUUAAGCCGCAGUGAAGAGGCCCAAGCGACUGUUUAACUAAAACACAGCUCUCUGCGAAGUCGCAAGACGAAGUAUAGGGGGUGACACCUGCCCGGUGCUGGAAGGUUAAGAGGAUCUGUUAAGAGCGAUCUGAAGCAGUGAUCCGAAGCCCCAGUGAACGGCGGCCGUAACUAUAACGGUCCUAAGGUAGCGAAAUUCCUUGUCAGGUAAG
rnacentral:rRNA from 1 species